AACGCACGAGACCUGCGGACCUGCGGAGGGAUCAUUAUAGAGUUUUUAACUCCCAACCCAUGUGAACUUACCUUUGUUGCCUCGGCGGGGCCUACCCGGUACCUACCCUGUAGCCCGCCGAUGGAUUUUCAAACUCUUGUUAUUUUAUGUUAUCUGAAUGUCUUAUUUAAUAAGUCAAAACUUUUAACAACGGAUCUCU
rnacentral:misc_RNA from 1 species